UACGUAGGUGGCAAGCGUUGUCCGGAAUUAUUGGGCGUAAAGCGCGCGCAGGCGGUUUCUUGAGUCUGAUGUGAAAGCCCACGGCUCAACCGUGGGGGGUCAUUGGAAACUGGGAGACCUGAGUGCAGAAGAGGAGAGCGGAAUUCCACGUGUAGCGGUGAAAUGCGUAGAGAUGUGGAGGAACACCAGUGGCGAAGGCGGCUCUCUGGUCUGUAACUGACGCUGAGGCGCGAAAGCGUGGGGAGCAAACAGG
rnacentral:rRNA from 1 species